rnacentral:rRNA from 1 species
GACGAACGCUGGCGGCGUGCUUAACACAUGCAAGUCGAACGGAAAGGCCCUGCUUUUGUGGGGUGCUCGAGUGGCGAACGGGUGAGUAACACGUGAGUAACCUGCCCUUGACUUUGGGAUAACUUCAGGAAACUGGGGCUAAUACCGGAUAGGAGCUCCUGUUGCAUGGUGGGGGUGGGAAAGUUUCGGCGGUGGGGGAUGGACCCGCGGCUUAUCGGCUUGUUGGGGGGGUAGUGGCUUACCAAGGCUUUGACGGGUAGCCGGCCUGAGAGGGUGACCGGCCACAUUGGGACUGAGAUACGGACCAGACUCCUACGGGAGGCAGCAGUGGGGAAGAUUGCACAAUGGGCGGAAGCCUGAUGCAGCGACGCCGCGUGGGGGAGGACGGCCUUCGGGUUGUAAACCGAUUUCGCCAGGGACGAAGCGUGAGUGACGGUAACGGGUAAAGAAGCACCGGCUAACUACGUG